rnacentral:rRNA from 1 species
AACAAACGCUGGCGGCGUGCCUAAUACAUGCAAGUCGAACGGGGAAAGCUUUCGGGUGAGUACUAGUGGCGCACGGGUGAGGAACGCGUGGAUAAUCUGCCUUAGAGUGGGGGAUAACUAGUCGAAAGAUUAGCUAAUACCGCAUAAGACCACAGGAGCUGCGGCUCUAGGGGUCAAAGGUUUUUCGCUCUAAGAUGAGUCCGCGUAAGAUUAGCUGGUUGGUGAGGUAACGGCUCACCAAGGCGACGAUCUCUAACUGGUCUGAGAGGAUGAUCAGUCACACUGGAACUGAGACACGGUCCAGACUCCUACGGGAGGCAGCAGUAGGGAAUAUUGCGCAAUGGAGGAAACUCUGAUGCAGCGACGCCGCGUGAGUGAUGAAGGCCUUCGGGUCGUAAAGCUCUGUCGCAGGGGAAUAACACAAUGAAUGUACCCUGUAAGAAAGGAUCGGCUAACUUCGUGCCAGCCGCCGCGGUAAAAC